rnacentral:lncRNA from 1 species
GAGACUAGCGCAUGCGCUUUAGCGAGGCAGUCUCGGGCGCCCAGCUGUCAGAGCUGUUAGCCUGCUUAAACAGAGGAAAAUGGUACAGGCAGAGCUGGUCUGGUAUCAGGAAAAAGGCUGCCUACGAUAAUCCACUGCAGGACCCUAAAAGUCUCGACCUUAGGGCCCCCUCGGACCGUCUCCAAGGUCGGGUCCCGCUGGAGAAGGAGGCAUUUCGAGAGUGUUGGAAACACCUUAUUUGUAGAAUCUACGAAGGGACAUUUUGGAACCCAUUGAGACCUAUAGUGAAACACUGAUUGUUUCACAAUGAAAACUGAAAACGUUAUCUAGGAAAAUGCUUUGCGUGUGUAGAUUCUACUCAGACAGGUUUGAAAUACUCUAAGACAUUUUGGAGCUCUUGGGGCCUAUAAUGAAGAAACGUAUAUCCUGCGAUGAAAACUUGAAACAAGCUACCUGUGAAAAUGCUUUGCAAUGUGUAGAUUCAUCUGACAGUUAAACCUUUGUUUUGAUUCAACAGGGGUUUGGGAACAUACUUUUUAUAUAACUUAUGAAUGGACAUUUCAGAGCCCAUUGAAGCCUAUACUGAAAAUCCAAAUAUCCUGCGAUAAAAACUAGGAGUAAGCUAUCUGUGAAAAUGCUUUGCGAGGUUUGGAUUAAUCUCACAGAUUUAAGCUGUUGCUUUGAUUUAGCAGGUUGGAAACACUCUUUUGUAAAAUCUACAAAGAAACAUUUUGGAGUCCAUUGAGGCCUAUAGUGAAAAACUGAAUAUUUCGCCUUGAAAACCAGAAACAAGCUAUCUGUGAAAAUGCUUUGUGAUGGAAGAUUUAUCUCACAGAGUUAAACGUUUGUAUUGAUUCAGCUGGCUGGCAACACUCUUUUUGUAAAAUCUACAAUGGGACAUUUCAGAGACCAUUGAAGUCUACAGAAAAAGACUGAAUAUCCCAUGAUUAAAACUAGAAACAAGCUAUCCAUCAAAA